rnacentral:lncRNA from 1 species
AAGCGCGCAUAUAUGAAUGAAUCACUUGGACUUUCGUCACGCCGUGACGGGCUUCUCUCUUGCGAGAUAUAUCACGGUCAGUAUACACGUGGUCCGAAGAGUCCCCGCCAUGUUCUCUCUGUGUUUCUGUCGUCAAAGAUUCAAGCUGUGAUCAAGACACAACUUCGAAUGCGCACAAUUACAGCUAACGCAUUGUCCAUCGCCAGACUGGAGGAUACGGAGAUUUAUGACGUUUUCGAGGCAGCGUCGUGCAAUGAUUGAGUGGUUACCGGUCUCCAGUUGAACAUACCAAGAGGUGCACAGAGAUAUACUGCAAAUCACGUCGCUGAAGGACACGGAGAAUCAACAUGUUUUCGAGGCAACGUCGUGCACCGCUCGCCAGUUGAGCAUAC